UAUGAUCAUGGAGAUCUCUGCCUUAGUUUAUUCAACUCCAUUUAGUCCUUAAUCUCUCAUUAAAUUUACGAAGAUCACAGAUUUUGUGUUGUUUAAUUUCGCCCAUAUGUAAAUCUCAAGAGUGAGUUUAGUUACAAUUAACUGAAAGAGUUGAACGAAAAAGAUAUGAUUGCAUAUGUUAAUAAAAAGUGUUAAAUUGUAUGAUGCGAAUGCUAACGUAUUGAAAGGUGAGUUUAUGCAUGGAGGCCCAGUAUCGGAUUGUUGCUUUCGUGAUGAUUCUUCUGGAUUUAGUGCUGGAGGAGAUGAUAUUGCUUGGAGACGUUGAUCCCACGACAUUGAAGCUGAUCAUCUAGCUUGCUUUUGGAGACUCUCCGCGUAUAAAUCCUGGUAUGGUAAUGGUUGGCGGGAGAGUUAAUAUCAGUGGUGUACCAAGGCUAAAAAAUUUGAAGACGUAUGCUCAUAUAGUAAAAAUAUUUGUCAAGGACCUUGUGCAUAAGG